rnacentral:rRNA from 1 species
UACGUAGGGGGCAAGCGUUGUCCGGAUUUAUUGGGCGUAAAGAGCUCGUAGGCGGUUUAGUUAGUCGGGUGUGAAAUCUCCGGGCUCAACCUGGAGGGGCCACCCGAUACUGCUGUGACUUGAGUUCGGUAGGGGAGUGGGGAAUUCCUGGCGUAGCGGUGAAAUGCGCAGAUAUCAGGAGGAACACCGGUGGCGAAGGCGCCACUCUGGGCCGGUACUGACGCUGAGGAGCGAAAGCGUGGGUAGCAAACAGG